rnacentral:tRNA from 1 species
GCGUCGGUGGUCCAGUGGUAGGAUGCCCGCUUUCCAUGUGGGCGGUCCAGGUUCGAUUCCCGGCCGACGCA